rnacentral:rRNA from 1 species
AGAUAAUAGAUACCCCGGUAGUCCACACCGUAAACGUUGGGCGCUAGGUGUGGGACUCAUUCCACGAGUUCCGUGCCGCAGCUAAACGCAUUAAGCGCCCCGCCUGGGGAGUACGGCCGCAAGGCUAAAACUCAAAGGAAUUGACGGGGGCCCGGCACAAGCGGCGGAGCAUGCGGAUUAAUUCGAUGCAACGCGAAGAACCUUACCUGGGUUUGACAUAUAGAGAAAUCCUCCAGAGAUGGGGGGUCCGUAAGGCUCUAUACAGGUGGUGCAUGGCUGUCGUCAGCUCGUGUCGUGAGAUGUUGGGUUAAGUCCCGCAACGAGCGCAACCCUCGUCUUAUGUUGCCAGCACGUCAUGGUGGGGACUCAUAAGAGACUGCCGGGGUCAACUCGGAGGAAGUGGGGAUGACGUCAAGUCAUCAUG